UACGAAGGGGGCUAGCGUUGCUCGGAAUCACUGGGCGUAAAGCGCACGUAGGCGGCUUUCUAAGUCAGGGGUGAAAUCCUGGAGCUCAACUCCAGAACUGCCUUUGAUACUGGGGAGCUCGAGUCCGGAAGAGGGGAGUGGAACUCCGAGUGUAGAGGUGAAAUUCGUAGAUAUUCGGAAGAACACCAGUGGCGAAGGCGGCUCACUGGUCCGGUACUGACGCUGAGGUGCGAAAGCGUGGGGAGCAAACAGG
rnacentral:rRNA from 1 species